CUUCCCCCAGUGUGAGUUAGGGGUGUCAGCUUGCCAGGAUUCCGGCUUCCUCUGCUGGGAGGACCAGAAAUCAAAUAUGCAUAUGUCAACAUUUACUUCACAAAGGCGAUGGAAGAGUGGGUUUAGAGGUGAGAGAUAAUAGCUUCGUAAGAGGCACAGGAACUAUCGUGCCCUAAAUCACAGUCCUUUUGGGGGUCUCGGUUAUCCCCCAAUCCAGGUUAUCACUGGCGUUCUGAACAAGACUGAAGUCUCAGGCUCAGUGGUUCUGCUGCCUGCCUCACAAGCACAGGGUCCCGAGUUCGAUCCCCAGUACCAACAACAGCAACAAAAAGACUGAAGUCUCAGAAUAGUGAGCUGACCAGGGUGCUGGCUGGAGUCGUGGCUUCGUGUGGUUACAUUAUGUCAGGUGGGCUCUUCAGAACCCAUAACAAGAUGAGGAAUCCAAAAGUGAUGAUGAAUUUUCAGAAAGGCUUACAUUAAACACCGUUUCCCCAGUUUUCUUGCCUUUGGGUUACCUCUCAUACUGUGCUUUGUAUAAAUCUCUCACUCAUACUCUGGUUUCUCUUCAGAUUACAUAAAUCUUUCUCCUUUUAUAAAUCUCUCCCUUGGGGUAAUAAGUGAGGGUCGCACUUAUUAUAUCUGUGGAUCA